rnacentral:piRNA from 1 species
UUAAAAGAGAGAGCCAGGAAAACAGGCUGU